rnacentral:rRNA from 1 species
AUUGAACGCUGGCGGCAGGCCUAACACAUGCAAGUCGAGCGGAUGAAGGGAGCUUGCUCCUGGAUUCAGCGGCGGACGGGUGAGUAAUGCCUAGGAAUCUGCCUGGUAGUGGGGGAUAACGUCCGGAAACGGGCGCUAAUACCGCAUACGUCCUGAGGGAGAAAGUGGGGGAUCUUCGGACCUCACGCUAUCAGAUGAGCCUAGGUCGGAUUAGCUAGUUGGUGGGGUAAAGGCCUACCAAGGCGACGAUUCGUAACUGGUCUGAGAGGAUGAUCAGUCACACUGGAACUGAGACACGGUCCAGACUCCUACGGGAGGGAGCAGUGGGGAAUAUUGGACAAUGGGCGAGAGCCUUACACAGCCAUGCCGCGUGUGUGAAGAAGGUCUUCGGAUUGUAAAGCACUUUAAGUUGGGAGGAAGGGCAGUAAGUUAAUACCUUGCUGUUUUGACGUUACCAACAGAAUAAGCACCGGCUAACUUCGUG